CCGGCUAAAGCCCCGACGGGAGGGGAUGGCUCCGCGGCCCAUCAGGUAGACGGCGGGGUGACGGCCCACCGUGCCGACAACGGGUAGCCGGGUUGAGAGACCGACCGGCCAGAUUGGGACUGAGACACGGCCCAGACUCCUACGGGAGGCAGCAGUGGGGAAUCUUGCGCAAUGGGGGGAACCCUGACGCAGCGACGCCGCGUGCGGGACGGAGGCCUUCGGGUCGUAAACCGCUUUCAGCAGGGAAGAGUCAAGACUGUACCUGCAGAAGAAGCCCCGGCUAACUACGUGCCAGCAGCCGCGGUAAUACGUAGGGGGCGAGCGUUAUCCGGAUUCAUUGGGCGUAAAGCGCGCGUAGGCGGCCCGGCAGGCCGGGGGUCGAAGCGGGGGGCUCAACCCCCCGAAGCCCCCGGAACCUCCGCGGCUUGGGUCCGGUAGGGGAGGGUGGAACACCCGGUGUAGCGGUGGAAUGCGCAGAUAUCGGGUGGAACACCGGUGGCGAAGGCGGCCCUCUGGGCCGAGACCGACGCUGAGGCGCGAAAGCUGGGGGAGCGAACAGGAUUAGAUACCCUGGUAGUCCCAGCCGUAAACGAAGGGCGCUAGGUGUGGGGGGACGAUCCCCCCGUGCC
rnacentral:rRNA from 1 species